AUGAGGCCCCUACACCUCGUCCUGAGGAAUGUGCCGGGGAAGGGGGGGCUCCGGAGGAGGGAAGGAGGACAGAGAAGGGGAGACUGUUUGGAAGUUUGUGUCUCCAUCUUGUCGCGCUCACUUCCUGUUUUCUUGGAGAUCAAAGAUGGGCGCGGAGGGCCUGGCCGCACGUCCAGCCGACGCCAGCUCAGAGGAGGGGGGAGGGAGGCUUCUUCUGAAUCCCGGGCCAUUGGGCUGUCUUUGGCCUAACCCGGCCUCCUUCCACCGCCUCGUUGGCUCAGGACCCCCAGGGGUCAGAGAAGGACGGCAGACGGCCACCCCAGCCAUAGCCACACCACCCGCCGGCAACACCUUGGGAAGGAUAAAUCCGGGACAAGGACACUUGGCUUGUACCUACGGACCACACAUCUUUACAGAGUUGGUCAAGUAACUCCACGGGGUUGACUUCUGAAGAAGACAGCAGAGGCCAAGACCACCUGGAGAAGCCCCCAGGCUGAGGAGCCUCCGCAGGACACCUAGUCUGGGCCCGUGCCCGCAUCUUGUACUCUUUUUGAGGAGUAGAGAAUUGGGUAGAAGCAGAGAGAGCGCCGCGUCCGAAGGGUUACGGGAGCCAUUCACAGAUCCCGGGGUAGGUGAGGGUAGAGGAAUUUAAAACUAAUCCUAAAACAACAACAACACAGA